GACGAACGCUGGCGGCGUGCCUAAUACAUGCAAGUAGAACGCACAGUUUAUACCGUAGCUUGCUACACCAUAGACUGUGAGUUGCGAACGCGUUAGUUACGCGUAGGUAACCUGCCUGGUAUCGUGUGAUAACUAUUUGUAACGAUAGCUAAUACCGCAUAAUAUUAAUUAUUGCAUGAUAAUUAAUUUAAUUGUUCAAUUUCACCACUACCAGAUGGUCCUGCGUUGUAUUAGCUAGUAGGUGAGGUAACGGCUCACCUAGGCGACGAUACAUAGCCGACAUGAGAGGGUGAUAGGAAACACGGGGAGUGAGACACGGAACAGACUACUACGGGAGGCAGCAGAAGGGAAUAGGAGGCAAUGGACGAAAGUAUGACAGAGCAACGCCGAGUGAGUGAAGAAGGUGUUCGGAUCGUAAAGAUCUGUUGUAAGAGAAGAAAGGGUGUGAGAGUGGAAAGUGAAAACAGUGAGGGAAUAAUAAAAGAAAGGGGGGGCAAACUAGGU
rnacentral:rRNA from 1 species